rnacentral:tRNA from 1 species
GGGGUUGUGGCUCAGUGGUAGAGUGCUUGACUCACAUGCAUGAGGACCUUGGUUCAAUCCUCAGCACCA